rnacentral:rRNA from 1 species
GCGCGGUAAUACAGAGGGUGCAAGCGUUAUCCGGAUUUAUUGGGCGUAAAGCGUUUCGUAGGUUUUUAGAUAAGUUAUUCUUCAAAGACCACGGCUCAACCGGGGAAGGGGAGUAAUACUAUCUGAAUUGAAAUAUGGUGGGGCUUCUGGAACUGAUGGUGUAGUAGUGAAAUACGUUGAUAUCAUCAGGAACUCCGAGGGCGUAGGCAGGAAGCUAACCAUUUUUUGACACUGAUGAACGACAGCUAGGGUAGCGAAAGGGAUUAGAGACCCCUGUAGUCCUAGCCGUAAACUUUGCUCGCUAGGGGUUAGUAAUUUAUUACUUGCCCCGUAAGCUAACGCGUUAAGCGAGCCGCCUGGGGAGUACGGCCGCAAGGCUAAAACUCAAAGGAAUUGACGGGGACCCGCACAACCAGUGGAGCAUGUGGUUUAAUUCGAGACGAACCGAAAGACCUCACCCAGCCUUGACAUAAUACCGUUUUAAGCAUCCAGAAAUGGAAGCCUAUCUUUAGAAAUAUUGAUGGUACUACAGGUGUUGCAUGGCCGUCGUCAGCUCGUGCCGUAGGGUGUUCCCUUCAGUGGGGUAACGAGCGCAACCCUUAUCCUGAGUUGAAUAUUCUCAGGAGACUUCCUAAAUUUAUUUUAGGAGGAAGUGAGGACGACGUCAGGUCAGCAUGGCCCUUAUAGCUGGGGCGACACACAUACUACAAUGGAGCCGACAGAGGGUUGCCAAGCCGCAAGGCGGAGCUAAUCCCAGAAACGGCUUCUCAGUUGGGAUUGGGGGCUGCAACUCGCCCCCAUGAACUUGGAAUUGGUAGUAAUCGCGAAUCAGCAUGUCGCGGUGAAUACGUUCUCGGGUCUUGUACACACCGCCCGUCAAGUGAGUAAAGUUGUAAAUACCUUAAAUCCGAUUGUAUCGGAUCAAGGUAGAGACAGCGAUAAGCACUAAGUCGUAACAAGGUAA